rnacentral:lncRNA from 1 species
CUAAUAUUUUGUUAUGCUCAUGGAUGGCGCUUCUUUUUUCGAAAAAAUCCAACUCUGUAGUUAUUAUUUUUCUUGUCGGACUUUCUUUGUCUUUUAAACGGGAUAGUCUAAAUGGCGCGGGUCGCGAGUCAAUAGAUCAUGGCGCGUGUCCAGCGAAAAUGGCGCGGGUCCAGCGAACAUGGCGCGGGUAUCAAAUUCCGAGGCGCGAGUAAAAAGUUCCGUGUGUGGGUUUUCUAACCAAAAUUGCAUAGAGAAUUUUGAU